CAGUAGCCACGGUAAUACGGAGGGUGCAAGCGUUACUCGGAAUCACUGGGCGUAAAGGACGCGUAGGCGGAUUAUCAAGUCUCUUGUGAAAUCUAACGGCUUAACCGUUAAACUGCUUGGGAAACUGAUAAUCUAGAGUAAGGGAGAGGCAGAUGGAAUUCUUGGUGUAGGGGUAAAAUCCGUAGAUAUCAAGAAGAAUACCUAUUGCGAAGGCGAUCUGCUGGAACUUAACUGACGCUAAUGCGUGAAAGCGCGGGGAGCAAACAGGAUUAGAUACCCCCGUAGUCCCUGUCUCUUAUAC
rnacentral:rRNA from 1 species